rnacentral:rRNA from 1 species
UGGCUUAUGGAGGGGGAUAACUGUGGGAAACUGCAGCUAAUACCGCGUAAUCUCUGAGGAGUAAAGGGUGGGACCUCUUGGCCACCUGCCAUAAGAUGAGCCCAAGUGGGAUUAGGUAGUUGGUGGGGUAAAGGCCUACCAAGCCUGCGAUCUCUAGCUGGUCUGAGAGGAUGACCAGCCACACUGGAACUGAGACACGGUCCAGACUCCUACGGGAGGCAGCAGUGGGGAAUAUUGCGCAAUGGGGGGAACCCUGACGCAGCCAUGCCGCGUGAAUGAAGAAGGCCUUCGGGUUGUAAAGUUCUUUCGGUAAUGAGGAAGGGAUGUUGUUAAAUAGAUGGCAUCAUUGACGUUAAUUACAGAAGAAGCACCGGCUAACUCCGUGCCAGCAGCCGCGGUAAUACGGAGGGUGCGAGCGUUAAUCGGAAUAACUGGGCGUAAAGGGCACGCAGGCGGACUUUUAAGUGAGAUGUGAAAUCCCCGAGCUUAACUUGGGAAUUGCAUUUCAGACUGGGAGUCUAGAGUACUUUAGGGAGGGGUAGAAUUCCACGUGUAGCG